GGGGUCGCCCCUCUCCUCCGGCCGCAGCUGAGCGCUCCCAGCCGGUGAUCUGCGUUUUUGCCGCCCUUUGUGAGCGUUUUCGAAGCAUCGCAUUGGAACGCCGGAGAAGAAGGGCAGGUCUGUCAUGUGUCUGUUUUCCAAGAGAAGAAACUGAGCCGUGGAGAGUAAAGGUGACUUGUCCAAGGUCACAUUCCGAGAAAGGGGCAGGAUCAGGAUUGGAACCCAAGUUCUAACUCCAGCUGUGCAUUUCACAGAGAUGUUGGGUGAAUCGCUGAAUCUCUGGGACUUCCUCCCCACCCGCGCUCCCAGAUGAGGAAGUUGGGACCCGGAAAAAAGUGAUGUGACUCCCAGUCUGGUGCUCUCCACACCACAUCUUAUGAGGUGUUACCUACCCAGACAUAGCUCUACCAUAUGAAAUCCUGACUCAGUAAGUGUAGGAUGAAGCCCACAACCUGCUUUGUAACAGCAUCCCAGACUGUCUAGUGCAAGUUGUCUAAAAUCUACCCAUGGAAAGCUGUCUUGGAGGAGGUUCCUGUGAUCUAAUCCUUGCUGCUCAGUGUUUGGUCCCUGGAUGGGCAACAUCUCAACCAUUGGUGAGCUUGUAGGAGUGAAAUCUGAACACACCCCAGGUUCACUGAGCCAAAAUGUGCCUGUUACAAGAUGCCCUGGUGUUUCCCGUAUUCAUUAGUGUUUGACAAAACACCAAUUUAAAUGGCAAGACUGAUUGG